rnacentral:rRNA from 2 species
CCAUGGAGCUUUAAACUUACCACCCACCUCUGUGGUACCACACCAUUCAACACAAGAGACCUGCGUGCUAGUUUUAGGUUGGGGGGACCACGGAGUAUAAUUAAACCUCCACAACAAAUGGGCUAAUACCCUUAUCCACGAGACACAACUCUAAGAAUUACUAAACUAAUGCUUAUGACCCGAUAUUCGAUCAAUGAACCAAGUUA